GAUGAACGCUGGCGGCGUGCCUAAUACAUGCAAGUAGAACGCUGAAGGCGGAGCUUGCUCUUCUGGAUGAGUUGCGAACGGGUGAGUAACGCGUAGGUAACCUGCCUGGUAGCGGGGGAUAACUAUUGGAAACGAUAGCUAAUACCGCAUGACAACAGUUAUUGCAUGAUAACUGUUUAAAAGGGGCAACUGCUCCACUACCAGAUGGACCUGCGUUGUAUUAGCUAGUUGGUGAGGUAACGGCUCACCAAGGCGACGAUACAUAGCCGACCUGAGAGGGUGGGCGGCCACACUGGGACUGGGACACGGCCCAGAGUCCUGCGGGAGGCAGCAGGAGGGAAUCUUCGGCAAUGGACGGAAGUCUGACCGAGCAACGCCGCGGGAGUGAAGAAGGUUGUCGGAUCGUAAAGCUCUGUUGUAAGAGAAGAACGAGUGUGAGAGUGGAAAGCUCACACUGUGACGGUAUCUUACCAGAAAGGGACGGCUAACUACGUG
rnacentral:rRNA from 1 species